rnacentral:rRNA from 1 species
AGCACCACAACAGGUGGAGCCUGCGGUUUAAUCGGACUCAACGCCGGGAAACUCACCAGAUAAGACAGCUGAAUGAUAGUCGGGCUGAAGACUCUACUUGACUAGCUGAGAGGAGGUGCAUGGCCGUCGUCAGUUCGUACUGUGAAGCAUCCUGUUAAGUCAGGCAACGAGCGAGACCCACGCCAACAGUUGCCAGCGUACUCUCCGGAGUGACGGGUACACUGUGGGGACCGCCGCUGCUAAAGCGGAGGAAGGAAUGGGCAACGGUAGGUCAGUAUGCCCCGAAUAUCCCGGGCUACACGCGAGCUACAAUGGUUGGUACAAUGGGUAUCUACCCCGAAAGGGGACGGGAAUCUCCUAAAACCAAUCUUAGUUCGGAUUGAGGGCUGCAACUCGCCCUCAUGAAGCUGGAAUCCGUAGUAAUCGCGUUUCAACAGAACGCGGUGAAUACGUCCCUGCUCCUU